rnacentral:rRNA from 1 species
UACAGAGGUGGCAAGCGUUGUUCGGAAUUACUGGGCGUAAAGGGCGCGUAGGCGGCCUUCUAAGUCAGACGUGAAAUCCCCAGGCUUAACUUGGGAACUGCGUCUGAUACUGGGAGGCUUGAAUGCGGGAGAGGGAUGUGGAAUUCCAGGUGUAGCGGUGAAAUGCGUAGAUAUCUGGAGGAACACCGGUGGCGAAGGCGGCAUCCUGGACCGACAUUGACGCUGAGGAGCGAAAGCCAGGGGAGCAAACGGG